AUACGUAGGGGGCGAGCGUUGUCCGGAAUGAUUGGGCGUAAAGGGCGCGUAGGCGGCCCGGUAAGUCUGGAGUGAAAGUCCUGUUUUUAAGAUGGGAAUUGCUUUGGAUACUGUCGGGCUUGAGUGCAGGAGAGGUAAGUGGAAUUCCCAGUGUAGCGGUGAAAUGCGUAGAGAUUGGGAGGAACACCAGUGACGAAGGCGACUUACUGGACUGUAACUGACGCUGAGGCGCGAAAGUGUGGGGAGCAAACAGGAUUAGAUACCCUGGUAGUCCACACUGUAAACGAUGAAUGCUAGGUGUAGGGGGUAUCGACCCCUUCUGUGCCGCAGUCAACACAAUAAGCAUUCCGCCUGGGGAGUACGGCCGCAAGGUUGAAACUUAAAGGAAUUGACGGGG
rnacentral:rRNA from 1 species